GCGGCAGCACGGGAAGCUUGCUUCCUGGUGGCGAGCGGCGGACGGGAGAGUAAUGCAUAGAAAUCUGCCCGGUAGUGGGGGAUAACCUGGGGAAACCCAGGCUAAUACCGCAUACGUCCUACGGGAGAAAGCAGGGGAUCUUCGGACCUUGCGCUAUCGGAUGAGUCUAUGUCGGAUUAGCUUGUUGGUGAGGUAAUGGCUCACCAAGGCGACGAUCCGUAGCUGGUCUGAGAGGAUGAUCAGCCACAUCGGGACUGAGACACGGCCCGAACUCCUACGGGAGGCAGCAGUGGGGAAUAUUGGACAAUGGGCGAAAGCCUGAUCCAGCCAUGCCGCGUGUGUGAAGAAGGCCUUCGGGUUGUAAAGCACUUUCAGUGGGGAAGAAAGCCUUGGGGCUAAUACCCUCGAGGAAGGACAUCACCCACAGAAGAAGCACCGGCUAACUCCGUGCCAGCAGCCGCGGUAAUACGGAGGGUGCGAGCGUUAAUCGGAAUUACUGGGCGUAAAGCGCGCGUAGGCGGUCUGAUAAGCCGGUUGUGAAAGCCCCGGGCUCAACCUGGGAACGGCAUCCGGAACUGUCAGGCUAGAGUGCAGGAGAGGAAGGUAGAAUUCCCGGUGUAGCGGUGAAAUGCGUAGAGAUCGGGAGGAAUACCAGUGGCGAAGGCGGCCUUCUGGACUGACACUGACGCUGAGGUGCGAAAGCGUGGGUAGCAAACAGGAUUAGAUACCCUGGUAGUCCACGCCGUAAACGAUGUCGACUAGCCGUUGGGGUCCUUGAGACCUUUGUGGCGCAGUUAACGCGAUAAGUCGACCGCCUGGGGAGUACGGCCGCAAGGUUAAAACUCAAAUGAAUUGACGGGGGCCCGCACA
rnacentral:rRNA from 1 species